CCCCAGUGUGCUUGGGUCAUGGACAAGAUACAUCAGAAAUACAUCUACACGUGGAACAACUCCUACAGAACACCUACUGAACGCUGGCAGAAGACUUCAGACCUCCCAAAAGCAAAGAAGACUGCAGAGGGUGAAAACAUGAACUUUUGGAGCCAGACACACCAGCAAGCAAUAAACAUUUGAACAGAGGUGCUGUCCAUCUGUCAGAAGCACAGCAUCUGACGGGGGAGUCAAAGCUGACCAAAUGGGGGCCAGCAGGAGAGGUGCCAUGAUCGUGCCAAGGUAACUACAGG